UACAGAGGUCUCAAGCGUUGUUCGGAUUCAUUGGGCGUAAAGGGUGCGUAGGUGCGCCGUAGUACGAGGUGUGAAAUUUCGGAGCUUAACUCCGAAACUGCAUUUGAUACUGCGGUGCUUGAGGACUGGAGAGGAGACUGGAAUUUACGGUGUAGCAGUGAAAUGCGUAGAGAUCGUAAGGAAGACCAGUGGCGAAGGCGGGUCUCUGGACAGUUCCUGACACUGAGGCACGAAGGCCAGGGGAGCAAACGGG
rnacentral:rRNA from 1 species